rnacentral:rRNA from 1 species
ACUCAAAUGAAUUGACGGGGGCCCGCACAAGCAGCGGAGCGUGUGGUUUAAUUCGACGCAACGCGAAGAACCUUACCUGGGCUUGACAUGCACGUGGUACGAGGCUGAAAGGCUGAGGACCCGCAAGGGAGCGUGCACAGAUGCUGCAUGGCUGUCGUCAGCUCGUGCCGUGAGGUGUUGGGUUAAGUCCCGCAACGAGCGCAACCCUCGCUGCCAGUUACCAUGUCUGGCGGGACCGCCGGGUCCAACCCGGAGGAAGGUGGGGAUGACGUCAAGUCAGCACGGCUCUUACGUCCAGGGCUACACACACGCUACAAUGGCCGGUACAACGCGCAGCGAUGGGGCGACCCGGAGCGAAUCGCACCAAAGCCGGUCUCAGUUGGGAUUGCAGGCUGCAACUCGCCUGCAUGAACGCGGAGUUGCUAGUAACCGCAGGUCAGCACACUGCGGUGAAUACGUUCCCGGGCCUUGUACACACCGCCCGU